rnacentral:rRNA from 1 species
CUUUUUAUACUGAGCGUAUUGGAACGUUAUCGAUAAGAAGAGAGCGUCUAGGCGAACAAUGUUCUUAAAGUUUGACCUCAAUCAGGUAGGAGUACCCGCUGAACUUAAGCAUAUCAAUAAGCGGAGGAAAAGAAACCAACCGGGAUUGCCUUAGUAACGGCGAGUGAAGCGGCAAAAGCUCAAAUUUGAAAUCUGGUACCUUCGGUGCCCGAGUUGUAAUUUGGAGAGGGCAACUUUGGGGCCGUUCCUUGUCUAUGUUCCUUGGAACAGGACGUCAUAGAGGGUGAGAAUCCCGUGUGGCGAGGAGUGCGGUUCUUUGUAAAGUGCCUUCGAAGAGUCGAGUUGUUUGGGAAUGCAGCUCUAAGUGGGUGGUAAAUUCCAUCUAAAGCUAAAUAUUGGCGAGAGACCGAUAGCGAACAAGUACAGUGAUGGAAAGAUGAAAAGAACUUUGAAAAGAGAGUGAAAAAGUACGUGAAAUUGUUGAAAGGGAAGGGCAUUUGAUCAGACAUGGUGUUUUGUGCCCUCUGCUCCUUGUGGGUAGGGGAAUCUCGCAUUUCACUGGGCCAGCAUCAGUUUUGGUGGCAGGAUAAAUCCAUAGGAAUGUAGCUUGCCUCGGUAAGUAUUAUAGCCUGUGGGAAUACUGCCAGCUGGGACUGAGGACUGCGACGUAAGUCAAGGAUGCUGGCAUAAUGGUUAUAUGCCGCCCGUCUUGAAACACGGACCAAGGAGUCUAACGUCUAUGCGAGUGUUUGGGUGUAAAACCCAUACGCGUAAUGAAAGUGAACGUAGGUU